ACGGAACGGGCCCCUCCGACCCGUCUAGUAACACGGACCAAGGAGUCUGACACGUGUGCGAGUACCCGGGUGGCAAGCCCGCGUGCGGAAUGAAAGUGA
rnacentral:rRNA from 12 species